rnacentral:rRNA from 1 species
CGCAGCCGCGGUAAUUCCAGCUCCAAUAGCGUAUAUUAAAGUUGUUGCAGUUAAAAAGCUCGUAGUUGAAUUUCGAGACCGGCUUACUGGUCGUGCUUUUGUGCGUACUGGUAUAAUCGGUUUCUCCUUUCUGACGAACUAUAAUGCCAUUAAUUUGGUGUUAUAGGGAAUCAGGACUGUUACUUUGAAAAAAUUAGAGUGUUUAAAGCAGGCUCACGCUUGAAUACAUUAGCAUGGAAUAACGGAAUAGGACGUUUGAUUCUAUUUUGUUGGUUUCUAGGAUCGACGUAAUGAUUAAUAGGGAUAGUUGGGGGCAUUAGUAUUCAAUUGUCAGAGGUGAAAUUCUUGGAUUUAUUGAAAACUAACUACUGCGAAAGCAUUUGCCAAGGAUGUUCUCAUUAAUCAAGAACGAAAGUUAGGGGAUCGAAGACGAUCAGAUACCGUCGUAGUCUUAACCAUAAACUAUGCCGACUAGGGAUCGGAUGAUGUUAAUUUUUAAUGACUCAUUCGGCGCCUUACG